rnacentral:tRNA from 1 species
GAAAAACUAGUUAAAUACAUAACAUAAGAUUGUCAAUCUUAAAUUACUUCCGUGUUUUUU